GAUGAACGCUAGCAGAACGCCUAACACAUGCAAGUCGAACGAAUAUUAGUCUUCGGACUAAUGUUAGUGGCAAACGGGCGCGUAACACGUAUCUAACCUACCCUUGAGUGAGGCACAACUAUGGAGACAUAGCUAAUUCCUCAUACGCUCAUCAGAAUGAAAAUAUGAUGAGGAAAGAUUUAUCGCUCAAGGAGGGGGGUGCGGCCUAUCAGGUAGUUGGUGAGGUAAUGGCUCACCAAGCCUAUGACGGGUAGCCGGUCUGAGAGGAUGUCCGGCCGCAAUGGAACUGAGAACGGUCCAUACUCCUACGGGAGGCAGCAGUGGGGAAUAUUGGACAAUGGGCGAAAGCCUGAUCCAGCGAUUCUGCGUGAAGGAUGAAGCCUUAUGGGGUGUAAACUUCUUUUCUGGGGGUAAGACGAAUGACGGUACCUCAGGAAUAAGAGACGGCUAACUACGUGCCAGCAGCCGCGGUAAAGUCUGUACU
rnacentral:rRNA from 1 species